rnacentral:sRNA from 1 species
CGGAGGGAUAUUGCUGGAACGCGCCCCAGGCGCACCCAGAAACCCUUUGUGAACUUAUACCUUACUGUUGCCUCGGCGCAUGCCGGCCCCCCCGGGGGCCCCUCGGAGACGAGGAGCAGGCACGCCGGCGGCCAAGUUAACUCUUGUUUUUACACUGAAACUCUGAGAAAAAACACAAAUGAAUCAAAACUUUCAACAACGGAUCUCUUGGUUCUGGCAUCGAUGAAGAACGCAGCGAAAUGCGAUAAGUAAUGUGAAUUGCAGAAUUCAGUGAAUCAUCGAAUCUUUGAACGCACAUUGCGCCCUCUGGUAUUCCGGAGGGCAUGCCUGUUCGAGCGUCAUUUCAACCCUCAAGCAUUGCUUGGUGUUGGGGCACUGCUUCUCUACCGAAAAGCAGGCCCUGAAAUCUAGUGGCGAGCUCGCCAGGACCCCGAGCGCAGUAGUUAAACCCUCGCUCUGGAAGGCCCUGGCGGUGCCCUGCCGUUAAACCCCCAACUCUUGAAAAUUUGACCUCGGAUCAGGUAGGAAUACCCGCUGAACUUAAGCUUAA